rnacentral:rRNA from 1 species
UACAGAGGUCUCAAGCGUUGUUCGGAUUCAUUGGGCGUAAAGGGUGCGUAGGCGGCGUGGUAAGUCGGAUGUGAAAUCUCGGAGCUUAACUCCGAAACUGCAUUCGAUACUGCCGUGCUUGAGGACUGGAGAGGAGACUGGAAUUUACGGUGUAGCAGUGAAAUGCGUAGAUAUCGUAAGGAAGACCAGUGGCGAAGGCGGGUCUCUGGACAGUUCCUGACACUGAGGCACGAAGGCCAGGGGAGCAAACGGG